rnacentral:rRNA from 1 species
AUUGAUUUUAUGCUUGCAUAAAUGAUUUUUGGAUUCGGAGCGAGUGGCGAACUGGUGAGUAACACGUGGGUAACCUGCCCCGAAGCGGGGGAUAACAUUUGGAAACAAGUGCUAAUACCGCAUAAUUAGUUGGAACCGCAUGGUUCCAACUUGAAAGAUGGCUCUGCUAUCACUUUGGGAUGGACCCGCGCCGUAUUAGUUAGUUGGUGAGAUAAAAGCCCACCAAGACGAUGAUACGUAGCCGACCUGAGAGGGUAAUCGGCCACAUUGGGACUGAGACACGGCCCAGACUCCUACGGGAGGCAGCAGUAGGGAAUCUUCCACAAUGGACGAGAGUCUGAUGGAGCAACGCCGCGUGAGUGAUGAAGGUUUUCGGAUCGUAAAACUCUGUUGUUAAAGAAGAACAAGUGUUAGAGUAACUGUUAACACUUUGACGGUAUUUAACCAGAAAGCCACGGCUAACUACGUGCCAGCAGCCGCGGUAAUACGUAGGUGGCAAGCGUUGUCCGGAUUUAUUGGGCGUAAAGCGAGCGCAGGCGGUUUUGUAAGUCUGCUGUGAAAGCCCUCAGCUCAACUGAGGAAGUGCAGUGGAAACUACAAAACUUGAGUACAGAAGAGGAAAGUGGAACUCCAUGUGUAGCGGUGAAAUGCGUAGAUAUAUGGAAGAACACCAGUGGCGAAGGCGGCUUUCUGGUCUGUUACUGACGCUGAGGCUCGAAAGCAUGGGUAGCGAACAGGAUUAGAUACCCUGGUAGUCCAUGCCGUAAACGAUGAAUACUAGGUGUUGGAGGGUUUCCGCCCUUCAGUGCCGCAGCUAACGCAUUAAGUAUUCCGCCUGGGGGGUACGACCGCAAGGUUGAAACUCAAAGGAAUUGACGGGGGCCCGCACAAGUGGUGGAGCAUGUGGUUUAAUUCGAUGCUACGCGAAGAACCUUACCAGCUCUUGACAUCUUCUGCCAACCCAAGAGAUUGGGCGUUCCCUUCGGGGACAGAAUGACAGGUGGUGCAUGGUUGUCGUCAGCUCGUGUCGUGAGAUGUUGGGUUAAGUCCCGCAACGAGCGCAACCCUUAUUAUUAGUUGCCAGCAUUUAGUUGGGCACUCUAGUGAGACUGCCGGUGAUAAA